UCCUUAUUUGAGGACGUAUUUGAGAUUUUUCGGACCAUUUCGGUGUUGCUGGGUUCUGCAACAACACAGAAAAUUGUCUUCAAGCACUCAACAGGCACCCUCUACCAGAGCAGUCACACACCUGAGGACCUCGGCAAGAUAAUUCUGGGCUCAGUGGAAGACGGCGAUUUCAUCGUGAUGCCCCCAUACUCUGUUCUUCAAAGUCAUAUUGGACAGUACCAAAGACUCAUUGCUCAGAUGGCUACGUUCUCAAGAAAUCCCCAUCCAUCCGAUGAUGACAUCUCCGGAACAGUUUGCAGCCUUUUCUUGAAUGAUGGCGUGUCUGAUGUUGAGUUGGCCAAUCUCACAGAGAUGAUAGA